rnacentral:rRNA from 1 species
UACAGAGGGUGCAAGCGUUAAUCGGAAUUACUGGGCGUAAAGCGCGCGUAGGUGGUUUGUUAAGUUGGAUGUGAAAUCCCCGGGCUCAACCUGGGAACUGCAUUCAAAACUGACAAGCUAGAGUAUGGUAGAGGGUGGUGUAAUUUCCUGUGUAGCGGUGAAAUGCGUAGAUAUAGGAAGGAACACCAGUGGCGAAGGCGACCACCUGGACUGAUACUGACACUGAGGUGCGAAAGCGUGGGGAGCAAACAGG